CACGGGGGGAGCAAGCGUUGUUCGGAAUCACUGGGCGUAAAGGGUGCGUAGGCGGGUUUUUAAGUCCGGGGUGAAAUCCUGGAGCUCAACUCCAGAACUGCCUUUGAUACUGAAGAUCUUGAGUCCGGGAGAGGUGAGUGGAACUGCGAGUGUAGAGGUGAAAUUCGUAGAUAUUCGCAAGAACACCAGUGGCGAAGGCGGCUCACUGGCCCGGUACUGACGCUGAGGCACGAAAGCGUGGGGAGCAAACAGG
rnacentral:rRNA from 1 species